rnacentral:rRNA from 1 species
CAGUCGCCGCGGUAAGACAGAGGAUGCAAGCGUUAUCCGGAAUGAUUGGGCGUAAAGCGUCUGUAGGUGGCUUUUCAAGUCCGCCGUCAAAUCCCAGGGCUCAACCCUGGACAGGCGGUGGAAACUACCAAGCUGGAGUACGGUAGGGGCAGAGGGAAUUUCCAGUGGAGCGGUGAAAUGCGUAGAGAUGUGGAGGAACACCAGUGGCGAAGGCGACUCUCUGGUCUGUAACUGACGCUGAGGAGCGAAAGCGUGGGGAGCGAACAGGAUUAGAUACCCCCGUAGUCCCUGUCUCUUAUAC